GUUUUGUUGAUGAUUUUCGCAAUUUUGCGCUGGACAAAGUGUUUUCAAACGCUCCAAGAGGUCUGACUGAUAAAAAGCCAUAAAUAGUGAAAAGGGUUGGAAGUGUUUAAUAAUUAAGAAAAAGGGAUUUUUAUAAAGAAGAAAAGUGUUUUUUAAACUUAAAAAUUAAAUUAAAAAAGUUAUUUCGAGAGUGUUCGUCAUUUUUAAAUCGCGUGUGCUUCAGCAGAUGUUAUGAUUCAAGGGAACAGCAGCAGCAGCAGCAGCAGGGAUGCAGAUCAGACAACAGUUACUGGUUAAAAGGUGAAACAAAUGAGGAAAUGAUUAGUGACGCAGAAAAAUCAUAAUUUAUGAACGUUGAUAAGGAUUUUUGAAAAAAAAUUUCCAGUCGCCUACUUGAUGUUUUGAUCUCCCACGUGGCUGCCGGUGACACUAAUUCCAACUGCAUAGCUACUUUCGGUGGAAGAAUUAUUGGAAGAUGUGCAAGUGGC